UGACGAGUUUGAUCCUGGCUCAGAUUGAACGCUGGCGGAAUGCUUUACACAUGCAAGUCGAACGGUAGAGGGGGCAACCCCUCGAGAGUGGCGAACGGGUGAGUAAUAUAUCGGAACGUGCCCAGUCGUGGGGGAUAACGCAGCGAAAGCUGCGCUAAUACCGCAUACGAUCUAAGGAUGAAAGCGGGGGAUCGCAAGACCUCGCGCGAUUGGAGCGGCCGAUAUCAGAUUAGGUAGUUGGUGAGGUAAAGGCUCACCAAGCCAACGAUCUGUAGCUGGUCUGAGAGGAUGAUCAGCCACACUGGGGACUGAGACACGGCCCAGACUCCUACGGGGAGCAGCAGUGGGGAAUUUGGACAAUGGGGCAAAGCCCUGAUGCAGCAACGCCGCGUGAGGGAUGAAGGCCUUCGGGGUUGUGAACUGC
rnacentral:rRNA from 1 species